AGAGUUUGAUCCUGGCUCAGAACGAACGCUGGCGGCGUGCUUAACACAUGCAAGUCGAACGUGAUUGAGAGCUUGCUCUCAUGAAAGUGGCGCACGGGUGAGUAACACGUGGAUAAUCUGCCUGGCGAUUCGGGAUAACACUUCGAAAGGGGUGCUAAUACCGGAUAAGCCCACGGWYUCUUYGGAGWKYGCGGGAAAAGGGGGSSWCYKUUUGKSCUYCUGUCGYYAGAUGAGUCUGCGUMCCAUUAGCUAGUUGGUAGGGUAAAGGCCUACCAAGGCUACRAUGGUUAGCUGGUCUGAGAGGAUGAUCAGCCACACUGGARCUGAGACACGGUCCAGACUCCUACGGGAGGCAGCAGUGGGGAAUUUUGCGCAAUGGGCGAAAGCCUGACGCAGCAACGCCGCGUGAGUGAUGAAGGCUUUCGGGUCGUAAAGCUCUGUCRAGGGGAAAGAAGUGUMUUGUGGCUAAUAUCCRUGAKRCUUGACGGUACCCCUAAAGGAAGCACCGGCUAACUCCGUGCCAGCAGCCGCGGUAAUAC
rnacentral:rRNA from 1 species